GGACGGGUGAGUAACGCGUGGGUAACCUACCCAACAAACCGGGACAACCCCUGGAAACGGGGGCUAAUACCGGAUAAUCUUUCCGGAGGACAUCCUCUGGAAAGGAAAGGCGGCCUCUGAAAAUGCUGCCGAUGAUGGAUGGACCCGCGUCUGAUUAGCUAGUUGGUGGGGUAACGGCCUACCAAGGCGACGAUCAGUAGCCGGCCUGAGAGGGUGAACGGCCACACUGGGACUGAGACACGGCCCAGACUCCUACGGGAGGCAGCAGUGGGGAAUCUUCCGCAAUGGACGAAAGUCUGACGGAGCAACGCCGCGUGUAUGACGAAGGCCUUCGGGUUGUAAAGUACUGUUUUUGGGGACGAACGGCGCUUAUGUGAAUAAUGUAGGCGAUUGACGGUACCCAAGGAGGAAGCCCCGGCUAACUACGUGCCAGCAGCCGCGGUAAUACGUANGGGGCGAGCGUUGUCCGGAAUCAUUGGGCGUAAAGGGCGCGUAGGCGGACGUUUAAGUCCGGUGUGAAAGACUGGGGCUCAACCCCAGGGCUGCACCGGAAACUGGGGCGUCUUGAGGACAGGAGAGGAAAGCGGAAUUCCACCNUGUAGCGGUGAAAUGCCGUAAAUAUGUGGGANGAACACCAGUGGCGAAGGGCGGCUUUCUGGAACUGUAACU
rnacentral:rRNA from 1 species